rnacentral:rRNA from 1 species
CCUACGGGGUGCAGCAGUGGGGGAUAUUGCACAAUGGGGGGAACCCUGAUGCAGCGACGCCGCGUGUGGGAAGACGGUCCUCUGGAUUGUAAACCACUGUCCCCAGGGACGAAAAUGACGGUACCUGGGGAGGAAGCUCCGGCUAACUACGUGCCAGCAGCCGCGGUAAUACGUAGGGAGCGAGCGUUGUCCGGAAUUACUGGGUGUAAAGGGAGCGUAGGCGGGGAUGCAAGUUGGUGGUAAAAACUACCGGCUCAACUGGUAGUCGCACUUAAAACUGCAGCUCUUGAGUGAAGUAGAGGCAGGCGGAAUUCGUAGUGUAGCGGUGAAAUGCGUAGAUAUUAGGAGGAACACCAGUGGCGAAGGCGGCCUGCUGGGCUGUUACUGACGCUGAGGCUCGAAAGUGUGGGGAGCAAACAGGAUUAGAUACCCUUGUAGUC